AAUUUUGGCGCCUAAUUUUUCCCCACCCCCAAAAAUUUCACGGUCCCAAAUAUAAUCAUAUUUUAUUUAUAAAAUAAGUAAAUAAAAAAAAUAUAAUCUCUUUCUCCAAACCGAUCCCCAAAUCUCUUUCUCUCUCCCUCCAUAACUGAUCCUUUUCUCCCUUUCUCUUUCGUUUGCUCUCUGCCAACCCCGAACGGAUACCCACCGAUUGUCGCCACCGUUCAAGCACCAUUCCCAUUUCUCUGUAGCUUGGCGCCAACCUUCUACCCUGCCCUUUCCCCAUUGCUUGGUGCCAAGAAAAGUGUCGCUCGCCUGCUUUAAGGCCCCAUUUUCUGGAGUACUUCGCGUAUAGCUUCAGGGGUCGCAACUCUCAACUGGUAAAUAGCUUAUUUGUGGGUUUCUACUUGCGGUGAGAGAAUGGGUCUCUAUUUGUGGAUUUUGAUGUUGAUUCUUGUAUGGAGCUGCCCGACUUGUGAUUUUUAUUUGGGUGUGUUUAUUUUCUUAGCCUUCGUCGUUGUUCUUCCUUGCGAGCAGAAGCCUCCAAGUUCGCCCAGAUGUAGUGACCAGUCAGUUGUAGACCGGGCAAUCAAUGACAUAUGCAUCCUUAUGCGCUGCAGUAGACAUAAUUUAAAUGUGGUGCCACAUGUUGACUUUGGAUUAAAAGAACUUGGUGCAGAUGUUAUGUCCAUUCCUGGCCUAUAUGGGUUUGUCUAGAGCUUUUCCAGAGGCUGUUCAGGCAAGAUUUGUUAGUCGCUAGUCUUUUUCGAAAUUUUUUACUUGCUGAGCGAAUUAUGCAUUCUGACAAUUGUUCCCCGAUCUCUCAUCCAUUGUUGUCGCCUACCCAUCAGCAUCACAUGUGGGAUGCAUGGGACAUGGCUACUGAGAUAUGCCUUUCUCAGCUUCCGUCAUUGGUUGAAGAUCCUAUUGCAGAGUUAUAGCCAAGUCCCUUUUUUACGAAACAGCUGAGGGCUUUUGAGGUUUGGCUUGACCAUGGGUCGGAACACAAGAAACCACCAGAACAGUUACCUAUUGUUCUCCAGAUGAAUCUGAAUCUACUUUUCAUGAGGCUUUUCUUAGUCGUCUUACCGAAACUGGUGCAACAGAAAGUUCAUCUUUAUGUGACCUUCCUAAACAAAUGGAAGGUUAUCAACAGAGAGCCUCUGAACAGACUAAGAACAUCUUAAGUAAUUUAGUUUUUGCUGUUGACAAUUUGUGGUAUCUAAAAGAUGGAAUACAUACUGUAGUCUUGAAAAAACUUUCAGAAAAUGGAUCUUGCAGGAAAAGGACACCAAGUGAAUUAGAUAGAGAGGUUAAGAACUUGAGGGUGGCAUUUACUGACAUGUUUUUGAAGCAUAACACUUUCAAAGAAACUGCAAAGCCAUCGAGAUAUUGAUGCAAAGAAUAAAGCCGAGCUUAGAAUAUUAAGAGAUGUGACAAGCGAAAUAGAAAAGGCUACUUAAUUUUGAAGGCUUUGUGUUGGGCAGUUGUAGAAUAUUUUAUGCUAAAAGUAGUAGAAUAUGUUGAAUAUUUAAGACUGCUUGAAUACUUAAAGAACAUUUUGUUGUUGAUGAUAGUGUUGAAUGUUUUAAACUAAUUUGUGGAUUUGUUAAUACAAUGUUGAAUGUUUUAAACUAAUUUGUGGA